rnacentral:ncRNA from 1 species
UUGCCGGUGUGAGUCCGGUCCGAGUAGCUGCCAGAGGCCCGGUAGCAGGCUGGCGGUUUCGUCCGAAGGGCGGGGUCGAAGUCCAACGUCAAAGGCCAUGAUGGGGGAGUGACGGUGCGGUCCGUAGCGUGA